CAACAAGAAAGCAAAUAAGAAACUGAAGUAGUUGGCUCAUUUGGGCUGCUGAUUUCUUUGGACACUAAUGACAGCAGCGGAGAAGCUUGCCACUGUUCCUGAUGGGGAUAUCGACCCAGAAGGAACAUUUAAGUAUGUUCUAAUAGGUGUCUUUGGUCCAGAGGGUCCUGAUGGCAAAGAACCGAGCAAAUUAGUGGUGCGAGGAUACAAGUGAGUUGGCUUCCAUUCGGACGUCUACGAUGAGACGAUGGACAGGGUGUAAGGCCUCUGCGUUGAUACCGAUAUCACUGGUGGUGGCAGAAUACAGCACGACCCCAGUGCCAACGUCAUCAAAGUGUACAGCUACUCACAGGGGUUUGGGAAGGCAGACCACAGCAAGACUGUAGAAAUUCUGAAGACUGCAUAUCCUGUUUACAACAUUACUUGGAGUGAUGAAGGAUACUGAUCUGCUCAGGUUGUAAUAUUUGACAUUGCAGCUUUUGAAAAUGGAGCAGGAUGUUGUGCCCUCUUUCCUAU